AUUGAACGCUGGCGGCAUGCCUUACACAUGCAAGUCGAACGGUAACAGGUUAAGCUGACGAGUGGCGAACGGGUGAGUAAUGUAACGGAACGUGCCCAGUCGUGGGGGAUAACUGCUCGAAAGAGCAGCUAAUACCGCAUACGACCUGAGGGUGAAAGCGGGGGAUCGCAAGACCUCGCGCGAUUGGAGCGGCGGAUAUCAGAUUAGGUAGGUGGUGGGGUAAAAGACUACCAAGCCUACGAUCUGUAGCUGGUCUGAGAGGACGACCAGCCACACUGGGACUGAGGCACGGCCCAGACUCCUACGGGAGGCAGCAGUGGGGAAUUUUGGACAAUGGACGCAGGUCUGAUCCAGCCAUGCCGCGUGCGGGAAGAAGGCCUUCGGGUUGUAAACCGCUUUUGGCAGGGAAGAAAAGGUUCUGGCUAAUACCCGGGACUCAUGACGGUACCUGAAGAAUAAGCACCGGCUAACUACGUGCCAGCCGCCGCCGUAAUAC
rnacentral:rRNA from 1 species